rnacentral:tRNA from 1 species
CGUUUUAGAAACAUCAGUGGCCAACGAUCGUCAGGAUUGUUGAGCUGCAUUGGCGGGAUUUCGCCGUCUUCGUUUCUCUUUCUUCGCGGACGAACACGCGCUGGGGCUGCAAGCUUGCAGAAUCCCUGGUCCUUGACUGGAUAUGCGUUAGGGGCUUGUAGCUCAGUUGGUUAGAGCGCGCGCUUGAUAAGCGUGAGGUCGGAAGUUCAAGUCUUCCCAGGCCCACCACACUCAUCGAGUGAGCAUUCGUCUUCUGGUUACGGGGCCAUAGCUCAGCUGGGAGAGCGCGUGCUUUGCAAGCAUGAGGUCGUCGGUUCGAUCCCGUCUGGCUCCACCAGAUGGUUUGAUCAUCGACUGAUCGUGCACCUAAAUCGUCCGCGAAACAUCACUUCGCACUUACUAGUCCGGAUGGACAGUAAGCUGCGUGAUUUCUGACAUCGUAAAGAGGAGAUCGAUCCGAGUUGGAUCGGGCAACAAGCAAUUGUUGCGCGAUACUUCAUUAUCUCCGGAUCAUUUCGGCGCUCGUGCGCCUUUCAAUGUAGCUCACAAGGCUGCGUCUGAGAGGAAUGCGAGUUGUAAAUGAUCCUUUUAGCGAAGCUUGACCGCCUCGCUAUCGGAACGAUCUUACGAAGCAAGCUGGUCUUUCUAAUCAUUGUCCGGCUGCAGAUAGCGUUCAUCGAGGGCGCGUGCCGCAAGGUAAUUCUGCAGACAACAUUCUGCCGAGUGUGUGGACAUUGAUAAUGAGAGCAAUCAAGUGCCUUAAGGGUGUUCGGUG